rnacentral:rRNA from 1 species
GACGAACGCUGGCGGCGUGCUUAACACAUGCAAGUCGAACGAAGAGCGACGGAAGCUUGCUUCUAUCAAUCUUAGUGGCGAACGGGUGAGUAACGCGUAAUCAACCUGCCCUUCAGAGGGGGACAACAGUGGGAAACGACUGCUAAUACCGCAUACGAUCUAAUCUCGGCAUCGAGGAGGGAUGAAAGGUGGCCUCUACAUGUAAGCUAUCACUGAAGGAGGGGAUUGCGUCUGAUUAGCUAGUUGGAGGGGUAAGGGCCCACCAAGGCGAUGAUCAGUAGCCGGUCUGAGAGGAUGAACGGCCACAUUGGGACUGAGACACGGCCCAGACUCCUACGGGAGGCAGCAGUUGGGAAUCUUCCGCAAUGGACGAAAGUCUGACGGAGCAACGCCGCGUGAGUGAUGACGGCCUUCGGGUUGUAAAGCUCUGUUAAUCGGGACGAAAGGCCUUCUUGCGAAUAGUGAGAAGGAUUGACGGUACCGGAAUAGAAAGCCACGGCUAACUACGUG